AUGAGGGGCGACAUCCCGCCUCCUCCGGCUCCGGCUCUAGGACCCCCGGCUAACGGUGCGAUGCGCGAUGACGUCUACCCCGACCAGAACGCGACCUACGUCGUCCUCACCAGCCUUGGCGACGACAAACAUAGCGAGCGCCUGCUCCGGCAGGAAGUGAACACCGUCGUCUUGGCCAAGCCAGCGUACAUGCAUUGGUCGGAGCGCCCGGUCACCUGGACCCAGGAAGACCACCCGGCCGUCAUGCCGAACCCGGGUGGCUACGCCCUCGUCCUCGACCCCACCAUCGUCGCAUCCCGGCGCAGAUGCAAGUUCUCCCGAGUCCUCAUCGAUGGUGGCAGUAGCAUCAACAUCCUCUACCGCGACACCAUGACCAAGCUUGGCCUCGAGGCCAAGGAUCUGGAGCCGUCCCGGACAAUCUUCCAUGGCAUCGUGCCUGGCCUCUCCUGCUCCCCCAUCGGCCGGAUCCGGCUCGACGUCCUAUUCGGCACCAGCGACCAUUUCCGACGCGAGUCGCUCUGGUUCGAGGUGGUGGACCUAUCCAGCGCAUAUCACGCGCUGCUGGGCCGGCCGACACUCGCCAAGUUCAUGGCCGUCCCCCACUACGCCUACCUGAAGAUGAAGCUACCGGGUCCAAAGGGCCUCAUCACCAUCACCAGCGAUUAUCGCAAGUCCCUGGAGUGUGCCCAAGCCGGUGCCAAACUAACUGAGUCGCUGGCCAUAGCCGAGGAGCGGCGCCAGCUCGACCGGAUCGUCACGCUGGCCAACGAGACGCCGACCGUGCCGGCUUCGGUUAAGGAGCCGGCUGGAGAGGCCUCGUUCUAG
rnacentral:rRNA from 1 species